UACGAAGGGGGCUAGCGUUGUUCGGAAUCACUGGGCGUAAAGGGCGCGUAGGCGGCCGAUCAAGUCGGGGGUGAAAGCCUGUGGCUCAACCACAGAAUUGCCUUCGAUACUGUUUGGCUUGAGACCGGAAGAGGUAAGUGGAACUGCGAGUGUAGAGGUGAAAUGCGUAGAUAUCGGGAGGAACACCAGUGGCGAAGGCGGCUUCCUGGCCUGUUCUUGACGCUGAGGCGCGAAAGCUAGGGGAGCAAACGGG
rnacentral:rRNA from 1 species